GAUGAACGCUGGCGGCGUGCCUAAUACAUGCAAGUCGAGCGAACAGACGAGGAGCUUGCUCCUCUGACGUUAGCGGCGGACGGGUGAGUAACACGUGGAUAACCUACCUAUAAGACUGGGAUAACUUCGGGAAACCGGAGCUAAUACCGGAUAAUAUAUUGAACCGCAUGGUUCAAUAGUGAAAGACGGUUUUGCUGUCACUUAUAGAUGGAUCCGCGCCGCAUUAGCUAGUUGGUAAGGUAACGGCUUACCAAGGCGACGAUGCGUAGCCGACCUGGGAGAGGGAUCGGCCACGCUGGGAGUGAGACACGGUCCAGACUCCGACGGGAGGCAGCAGUAGGGAAUCUUCCGCAAAGGGCGAAAGCCUGACGGAGCAACGCCGCGUGAGUGAUGAAGGUCUUCGGAUCGUAAAACUCUGUUAUUAGGGAAGAACAAAUGUGUAAGUAACUAUACACGUCUUGACGGUACCUAAUCAGAAAGCCACGGCUAACUACGUG
rnacentral:rRNA from 1 species